rnacentral:rRNA from 1 species
GACGUAGGGCGCGAGCGUUGUCCGGAUUUAUUGGGCGUAAAGAGCUCGUAGGCGGUUUGUCGCGUCUGCUGUGAAAACCCGUGGCUCAACCACGGGCCUGCAUCCGAUACUGGCGGGCUCGAGGCAGGCAGGGGAGAUCGGAAUUCCUGGUGUAGCGGUGAAAUGCGCAGAUAUCAGGAGGAACACCGGUGGCGAAGGCGGAUCUCUGGGCCUGUCCUGACGCUCAGGCGCGAAAGCUAGGGGAGCAAACAGG